UCCUCCCUGGCGCAAUUGGCUAGCGCGUCUGACUGUUAAGACCUUGUCUUGCGCAAUCAGGAGGUUGGUGGUUCGAGCCCACCGGGGGGAG